UUUUUCCUUAUUCUUUAUUCGCACUCUCCCUAUUCCCUGCUUGCCCUACUAGAUUGAAACUGUAUUGAACAAAAGUUUUUUUUUUCUUGUGUGCUUGGAAUAUAUGCAUUUAUAUACCUCUUUGACUCUUCUUUGUUUACUUGACUUUCUUCAAUUCAUCAAAUAAAUUUUUUUUAAUUAAUGCAUUUUGAUUUUAUUAUUUUUCAUGUUUCAUGUUUUUGUUAUUUUUUUUGGGUUUCCUAUUUUUACAAUGCAUGUCAUUUCCAGUUUGAUUUUUGGUAGUUCCGGCAGCCCUAAGCAUUUCUGGGUGAUCGUGAUUGGCUCUUUUCUAGGUUAACAAUUUAUUUUAUGUUACUUUUGCUAAGUUUCGUUGUGAGUUCUGCAAUUCAAUUUCUAUUCAAGGUUUGGACGAACUAUUUUGCCGUAAUUUUAACUUAAUUCUAAGUAGUUUUUGUUAUUACCCGUAAUUAACAUAUUGAGAUUCAAAAUGCUUCUGUUUCCUGAAUUAUAUUAUUAUUUUAAUUAGUUGAGUUAAGAUUGAGGUGCAAUUAAUGGAUUAAUGUUCUCUGUUUUUUGUGUGCGUGUUGACUUGGUUGAUUGAUGGUUGCAGGUAAAGGGAAUAUUUUUGGCUUAGACGUGAGAUCAGAUUAUAUGAAACAUUAAAUUUGACUCCUGGCUGAAGAACUCACAAGAAUGUGAAAUUUAUUUUAAUUUGAGACAAUCGUUGCUAUUGAUAGGACUCAUUAGACCCUCUUUGUUUUGAAAGUUUGAAGCUUAGACAAUUUGUGACAGUUGUCGUCCUUUAAGACAAUCCCUCGAACAGUGGUGAUUGAAGCUCGGGAGCAAUGAAUCUUGAACUCUAUUGAACACAUGUCUAUCUGCUUCAGGCUAUGUUCAUGUAUAUGUGAAACAUAUAAAAUAAGUUUUUCGUAUUGGAUGUUUAAAAUGCUAGCCUUUUGUUUUAAUUAGCUUUAUGGUUUCUGUUGAUCUUGAAUGAAACUGGUGUUCAUAUUUUGAGGUGAGAUUUUGUAUAUCUCUAACUUUACCUAGAGUUUACCUUUUUAUAAUUUGGGUUCUUCUCUUACUACACCUAUGAACUGCUUACCCUGCACUGUAUAUUGUCUUUUCUCUUUAAUUUUUUAUUGGUUAUUUAUUUGAAAAAGGCCUAAAUUUGUAGUAUUUCUAAUUGCUACUCGCUUUCUCUGAGCGUACUUCAAUUGAUUUCCAUAAGCUGAAAGUAUAUUAUUUGUGUUGUCGUAAAUAUGACAUACUUUGAGGACAUUGCUAAUUCCCAAGAAGAUAUCAGCUGAUGAUGUAAGAAGUGGGAGUAUAGGCAAACAAACAUCAUCCUUUUUUUUUGUGCCUGUCUCUGCAUUGUUUCUUAACUCCAACUUUUCUUGAUUCACAGAGUAUAAAAUUUGCUAACUCCAUAUUAAUAAUUGGAGGAGGGCCAACAAGUGUGGAGUUAGCUGCUGAAAUUGCUGUUGAUUUUCCUGAUAAGAAAGUGACACUGGUGCACAAGGGAUCAAGAUUGUUAGAAUUCGUCGGAGAAAGUGCCAGCAGCAAGACUCUGAAUUGGCUUACUUCAAAGAAAGUUGAAAUCAUCUUAGGUCAAUCUGUCGAUUUGAACUCUACGUCUGAUGGUGUUAAUCGAACAUCGGUUUGGACAGUCAUGGCAGGCUAAUGGUUGAUUCAAAUUUAAGGGUCAAAGGUUACUACAAUAUUUUGGCAUUCGAGAUAUAGCUGUGUUCCAUAGGGGAAGUGUCUAAUUCCUCAUCCAACUCAUCGGAAUGAGCAGCAUCAGCACUAGAAAGACGAGAUCCAUAUGCGGAGGGUACCUAGGCCUCCAUCUGUAGUAUGAAAUUCGCUGCUACAGUUAUCUGGGUAAGGACCAAAAUAUUAUAGAAAAUGUUGGUAUUUCAAUGGCCUCCAAUAAUGCAUUGUUCCAGGUUCCUCCAUCUCAAGAGAAAAUGUUCAACUAUUUUCAUCCUCCACUGGAAUUGCAUCAACUUUAGAGAGUGAAUAUGUUUAGUUUGUAAACUCUCUAAGUUUUAUUAUUAUAACUUAAAUAAUUGUACAUAAAAUAUGUGUUGUAUAUGUUGCUAUGAUACAAUCAGUAACAAUUAUGAUAUUAUAAAGUUAUCAUAUGUUGUUCA